GCCUGCGAGCUGGAUCUGGUGGAGGAUGCUGCGGCAGGUGCUUCGCAGAGGGCUCCAGUCGUUCUGCCACAGGCUGGGCUUGUGCGUGAGCCGGCACCCGGUCUUUUUCCUCACCGUGCCCGCAGUCCUGACCAUCACCUUCGGCCUCAGCGCGCUCAACCGCUUCCAGCCCGAGGGCGACCUGGAGCGCCUGGUCGCGCCCAGCCACAGCCUGGCCAAGAUCGAGCGCAGCCUGGCCAGCAGCCUUUUCCCCCUGGACCAGUCCAAAAGCCAGCUCUAUUCGGACUUACACACCCCUGGGAGGUAUGGCAGGGUGAUCCUCCUCUCCUCACCCGGGGACAAUAUUUUGCUCCAGGCUGAGGGGAUCCUGCAGACCCACCGAGCCGUGCUGGAAAUGAAGGAUGGGAGGAACAGUUUUAUUGGACACCAACUGGGCGGGGUAGUGGAAGUGCCAAACAGCAAAGACCAGCGGGUCAAGUCAGCCAGAGCCAUUCAAAUCACCUACUACCUCCAGACCUAUGGCUCUGCCACUCAAGACCUCAUAGGGGAGAAGUGGGAGAAUGAGUUCUGUAAGCUUAUGAGGAAGCUCCAGGAGGAGCACCAAGACCUCCAGCUCUACUCUUUAGCAUCUUUUAGCCUCUGGAGAGACUUUCAUAAGACCAGCAUCCUGGCCAGAAGCAAGGUCCUGGUGAGCCUUGUGCUGAUCCUGACCACAGCCACACUCUCGAGCUCCAUGAAGGACUGCUUGCGCAGCAAGCCCUUCCUGGGCCUCCUGGGGGUGCUCACAGUCUGCAUCUCCAUCAUCACAGCAGCAGGGAUCUUCUUCAUCACAGAUGGAAAGUACAACUCCACCCUGCUGGGAAUCCCGUUCUUCGCCAUGGGUAACUAUCCAUCCUUGUGGUAA